CACGUAGGGACCGAGCGUUGUCCGGAAUCAUUGGGCGUAAAGAGCGUGUAGGCGGCUUGCUAAGUCUUGCGUGAAAUCUCGGGGCUCAACCCCGAGCGGUCGUGGGAAACUGGCAGGCUAGAGUGCGGGAGAGGAGAAUGGAAUUCCUGGUGUAGCGGUGAAAUGCGCAGAUAUCAGGAAGAACACCCGUGGCGAAGGCGGUUCUCUGGAACGCAACUGACGCUGAGACGCGAAAGCGUGGGGAGCAAACAGG
rnacentral:rRNA from 1 species